rnacentral:rRNA from 1 species
AACGUAGGACGCGAGCGUUAUCCGGAGUUACUGGGCGUAAAGCGCGGGCAGGCGGUGGGACAAGUGGGAUGUGAAAGCGCUCGGCUAAACCGGGCGAGGCCAUUCCAAACUGUCCGACUGGAGGGCAGUAGAGGUAGGUAGAAUUCCGGGUGGAGUGGUGAAAUGCGUAGAGAUCCGGGAGGAAUACCAGAGGCGAAGGCGGCCUACUGGGCUGCACCUGACGCUGAGGAGCGAAAGCGUGGGUAGCGAACAGG